AUGGCGGACGAACUGCUGUGAAUUUAGGGUUGAAAGAUUCGAUGUCGCACUGAAUGGUCAGUUUAUUACGACAGUUGUGUUACAUUUGAUGACGGAUGAUGAGCUGUUCUAAAAAUUCGUCUCGUCUUCACUUUUACAUCGGAUGUGUUCAGUAACAUCUUUCUACCAUGAUGAAAUUCUAAUUUUACCAGGAACCCCCCGACAGUCACAACAAACACCACGAAAUUUAAGCGAUUAUUUUAAACAUUCAAGCGUGAUAGCGUGAUCCAAGUCGUGUUACAUUCAUUAUCGGUCACGAAGAAAGUAGCAGAUUGAAGUGAUGAUGCUGAGAUGACCUAAGGAGCAAAAGUUUGGAUGCAAUUGACAACAUGCUGGAUUUGUCUAAACUUUUUUAAGGAAGCAACGUCCUGCAGUCUUGUUGCAGUUGGGUGAGGGAAGCGAAUAUCUCAAGAGGAUCGCAAACUUCAGAAAGAGAAAAAGGACAUUAUUUGAACAUUGGCAAUUUAUUAAAGACUAUAGAAUGGUUAUGGCACAAUUUCCAGCUGCAGACUGCGUAAGAGACAUACAGGAUGAUAGAGUGUACCAAAAAUUCAUCCAGCAUGACCCUUGUGCCAGAGGAAAGAAAGUACUUUUAAUUGUAGUUACUACUGCAGUGCACUGUUGAUUAAGUCCAAGAAGUUUAGUAUCAGUGGCCACUUAUUUGUUUUCUUGUGGAGUUACCUCCUCAAGAAAGAUACAAAUUUGAAAAUAUCUUACUAACUGGACUGUGGUAUGGGAAGUCUAAACCACAUGUGCCACUAAUUUCAGAACAUUAUACCAGUAAAUUAUUCAAUAUGGCAAAUGGUAGUAAUUAUAGUAAUGAAACAUGUGAACUUGUGUCAUCAGUGUGCAGAAUCCAAUCUGUUGUACCACACCUGCCUGCCAAAGCCUUGCUUUUAAAUAUCAAGCAGUACAAUGGUAAAUUUGGCUGCAGUACGUGCAAACAUCCAGGGAGGUACAGUCAUUCUGCCCAGCAAAUACGUGCAAGGCUGUACGAAUACUGGCCUUCUGGCACUGUGGCUGUCAGAGCAGCACACGAAACCAGGAUGUUUGGGAGAAUUGGGGAGGCAAGAGGCACCACAGUGUUUGGUAUUAAAAGAGAAAAUGUGUUUUGUCAAUUGGUUGACAUUUCAGACAAUUUACCUAUUGACUGAAUGCAUUGUGUUUGCAAAGGCAUCCUGAAAAGACAUGCAGCUAUUCAAACCUUGGUUCAAUCCUCAGUAUGCUACAGAGUCAAACAGUUUGCUAGGAAUUAGUCAUGAGCUAGACAAUAUGUUCCUGUCUAUCAAAGUUCCACAUGAGUGCCAUGUAGUAUUGCUGAAUUAAAACACUGAAAAGCAUCAGAAUUUUGUUUGUUUGCCCUCUUUGCUGGACUGCCAUGUCUUCAGUAUGCUGUACUUUCUAUCACUUUGCACUAUACUGCUCUUCAUUUCCUGCACUCAGUUCCUAUUUCCAAACCUUGUGUAGAGGAGGUUCAACUUUUACUUGAUAACUUUGUGAAACUUUUACCAAGUCUUUAUGGUAUUGAAGAGUGUACAUACAACUCCCAUGCUUAAUUCCACUUCUCUUUCCAAGAGUUCUUGGCCAUGGUUCCUUAGCACUUACUUCUGCUUUUGUAUUUGAAGCAUUCAUCGCUCACCCUAUAAAUCUGUUCUCUGGAACAAGGGGACUCCCAAAGCAAAUAGUGGAAAAAUUAAGGGUAUGCCAAACCUACAAGGUGCAUGUUCCACAGAAAUGCAAAUCCACACCCAGUGCUACUAGGUUUGCAAAACAUCUGCUUGGUGAAAGGCUCAGUGUUCGGUAUACAGAAGGGAAAAUCCUGCUACAUGAACCUGUGCACUUUGAGAUGCUGACACAGUUUCAAAAUGUCUUUUUUGCAGCAUUUGGAAGUGGUCCUGUCCCAGAAUACUUGGUUUCCUAUAGGACGACAAAAGAUCAUGUCACCUUCCAUAGCAUAAUGUAUCCUAGAAAAGGAAAUUUGUGCAGCUACCUUGUCCAGUUUUGUGCACAUGGGAGGAAAUGCUAUGGUAGAGUGGUUUGCUGCGUCCUCUUCUAAAAUGUGGCCUAUGCAUUGAUCACCGAGUGUGGCUUGAAUAGAUUGAUUGUUUGCCAAGACCUUCCUCCACCACAGGAUGUAGUCCUGAAGGAAGUUGUUCAUAAUUGGUCAACUUUUUCUCUACGUUCAAGAAAGCCAAAGUCUCUUGCAUGUGAAAUGUGGUGAUGUUAUCAACAGGUGUCUUUAUGUUUAAGGCUAGGAUGGGAAAGGUUUCAUCACCUUUCUAGAAACUUCCUAUGAACAUGAUUAGUUAUUAUUUUCAACUAGCUGUUAAGUGUCUUUCAUAUUCAAUCAUUAAAUUUAAUCUGAAAUAUCUGUCCAAAUUUAAUCUGUUAAUACUGUAAAUGUUAAGUUUCCUGUGCACUAGGCCCUGUCUCUGCCGAGGUUUUGUCAUUCAACGCUGAGGUCAAACCUCAGUGCACAUGUGUUUUUAUUGCUUGUUAUUUUUGCCUUUUCUUUGGAUGAUUUUGUAACUAGACUUACAUUGAAGGAAUAGAACAUUACAGAACCAUUAUGGA